AGCGAACAGAAGGAGCUUGCUCCCGGAUGUUAGCGGCGGACGGGUGAUUAACACGUGGGUAACCUGCCUGUAAGACUGGGAUAACUCCGGUAAACCGGAGCUAAUACCGGAUAGUUCCUUGAACCGCAUGGUUCAAGGAUGAAAGACGGUUUCGGCUGUCACUUACAGAUGGACCCGCGGCGCAUUAGCUAGUUGGUGGGGUAAUGGCUCACCAAGGCGACGAUGCGUAGCCGACCUGAGAGGGUGAUCGGCCACACUGGGACUGAGACACGGCCCAGACUCCUACGGGAGGCAGCAGUAGGGAAUCUUCCGCAAUGGACGAAAGUCUGACGGAGCAACGCCGCGUGAGUGAUGAAGGUUUUCGGAUCGUAAAGCUCUGUUGUUAGGGAAGAACAAGUGCGAGAGUAACUGCUCGCACCUUGACGGUACCUAACCAGAAAGCCACGGCUAACUACGUGCCAGCAGCCGCGGUAAUACGUAGGUGGCAAGCGUUGUCCGGAAUUAUUGGGCGUAAAGGGCUCGCAGGCGGUUUCUUAAGUCUGAUGUGAAAGCCCCCGGCUCAACCGGGGAGGGUCAUUGGAAACUGGGAAACUUGAGUGCAGAAGAGGAGAGUGGAAUUCCACGUGUAGCGGUGAAAUGCGUAGAGAUGUGGAGGAACACCAGUGGCGAAGGCGACUCUCUGGUCUGUAACUGACGCUGAGGAGCGAAAGCGUGNGGAGCGAACAGGAUUAGAUACCCUGGUAGUCCACGCCGUAAACGAUGAGUGCUAAGUGUUAGGGGGUUUCCGCCCCUUAGUGCUGCAGCUAACGCAUUAAGCACU
rnacentral:rRNA from 1 species